AAAUAGGUCUAGGUCACGGUCGGAACGCCUGCUGCAUUCGCCAUGUUGGACGAACUUUUUGGGUCUGUCUUUUGAGAAACUGCAGAGUUCCCCAGCUGAACUUCCAUUACAACAUCAGUACAUUGUCAACAUGAACCAAAGUGUACAAGGUUUGUCUGUCUUUUGAGAAACUGCAGAUUUCCCCAGCUGAACUUCCAUUACAACAUCUGUACAUUGUCAACACGAACCAAAGUGUACAAGGCUCUACACUGCACCAUACAUAAAGGACUUGACCAUGGACCCUCGAAGCAGUGCCCAGGAUGUGGUGCGUUGUGAUGUGUGUGAUACUCCUGUCCCCCCACUACACUGUGACUUCUGUCAGACCAAUCUCUGCAAAGCUUGUGUUGGGGAACAUAUGCUUGAUUUUUCAAAAAAACAUCAGGUGGUACCAUUCCAAGACCGAGGAUCUACUCCAAAUUAUCCUAAUUGCUCAGAACAUGUCAAAGAGCAGUGUAAACAUUAUUGUGAACAAUGUGACAUUCCUAUCUGUGCCCCUUGUAUUUCCUCUGGCAAUCAUCAAAGUCAUAAGUUGGUAGACAUUUUUAACACCUUUAUAAGUAAAAAAGAAGAUUUACAAAGAGAUUUGAAUGAAUUUCAGAAUAUCCUUUCUCCCAAAUACCAGGAGAUUGCAUCCAAUAUCCCAGUUCAGAAAGCUGAUCUGAGUAAAAACUCCCAGAAAUUUACAACAGCAAUAGACAAACAUGGAGAAGUCUGGCACAGAGAAAUAGACACCAUUAUACAGAAACUGAAAUCUGAUCUUGAUGAAAUGGACGCCAAACACCUGGCUGUCUUAAACAAACGGGAAGAUGAAAUCACACACACCAUUUCUGAAAUCACACAGAGCAUUGCAGAUCUGAAGAAGUUACUGGUCUCCAAUAAUGUCAGCCGUGUAUCUGCCUACAAAUCCAGGAUUGCUGAAUUCAGAAGAUUGCCUCCUAAACUCACAGUUUCUCUACCAAACUUCAUCCCUCAGAAAAUUAACCCAGAGCAACUUUACCAACAAUUUGGUUCCCUGUCAGCAUUCUCCAUUACAACAGAGGAACACGGCUACACCAUGGAAACCUCAGAAGCUGGAUCCUCUCCUCUCCAACCACUGCUUGAUGAGCCACGGAUCAUCUCCACCAUACACACACAGUAUGGAGACCCUCGUAAUGGUCUAACCAGUGUUACUUGUCAUAGUGAUGAAGAAAUAUGGACGUGUAGUUAUUUAAAUAAGAUGAUGAGUCUCUACAACCUGCAGGGGAAACUAGUGAAGUCAGUCCAAACCAAGUCAGGGAACACUCCAUGUGACAUAGCAGUGACAAGGAGUGGGGAUCUAGUUUAUACUGAUUACUGUGAUAGAACUGUGAACAUAGUGAAGAAUACACAGAUACAGACAGUGAUCAGACUACAGGGGUGGAAACCUCUCGCUGUCUGUAGUACCUCCUCUGGUGACCUCCUGGUUGUCAUGAACAGUGAUGAUUAUAAACAAACAAAAGUUGUGUGUUACUCUGGCUCCACAGAGAAACAAAGUAUUCAGUACGACGACAAAGGACAACCUCUCUAUUCAUCUGGUGGUAACUAUAAAUACAUCAGUGAGAACAGGAACCUAGAUAUCUGUGUGUCAGACAGUGGAGCCCGUGCAGUAGUGGUGGUCAAUCAGGCCGGGAAACUCCGGUUUACCUACACUGGUCCUCCCUCUACUACCAAGGGAUCAUUCUAUCCACGCGGCAUCACAACAGACAGCCAGGGUCGGAUCCUGACAGCAGACCAUAACAACCACCGUAUCCACAUCCUGGAUCAGGACGGACAGUUCCUCCGCUACAUUGACAACUGUCAUUUACAGACUCCAUAUGGUUUAUGUGUGGACACCAGAGACAACCUCUUUGUGGCUGAGAACACAGGUACAGUGAUGAAAAUACAAUAUUACAUGUAAACAUUGUGUGUAUUAUAUGUAAACAAACUGUGUGUGUGUAUUAUAUGUAAACAAACUGUGUGUGUGUAUUAUAUGUAAACAGACUGUGUGUGUAUGUAUUAUAUGUAAAUAUCUGAUGUAAACAAAUUGUGUGUGUAUUAUAUGUAAACAAACUGUGUGUGUAUACAUGUAUUGUUAGUAAAAUUUAUGUGUAUGUAUUAUAUAUGUAAACUAAUCAUGUUUAUGUAUUUUGUGUAAACUGUUUAUGUAAACAAACUGUGUGUGUAAAGAAACUGUGCGUGUGUAUAUAUAGAAACUGUGUGUGUGUAAACAUGAAUCGUUUGUAAACAGACUAUUUUGUUCUAUAUGUAAACAAACUAUGUGUAUGCAUUUUAUUAUAAGAAAAACUCUGUAUAUAUUGGUGUGCAUCAUAUGUAAACACACGAUAGGUUCUGUAUGUAAAUAGAAUGUGUGUGUAUGAUACAUGUAUGUAAACAAAAUACAUGUAUAUGUAAAUCAUCACUAAUUGUAAACUAAGGAAACAUAUUUCUUUAAUAAUUUGAAAUGUACAUGUGUGUUUUGACUGCAUUUGAAUUUGGGUGUAUAAAAGUAUUUCUUUAUUAAAAUAAAAAUCU
rnacentral:misc_RNA from 1 species